GCGGCGCCGGGAAGUCGAGGAGUGUAUGCGGCGCCGACUUCAUGAAGAGCGUCCCCCUCCCUCCCUGCCUCCUUACUCACGGUGCAGAGUGCAGCACUGUCCUUCCUGUUGCUGCCGGGACGGCGCCUGUCACACUUAACACAGGCAGUGCCAGAAGACCCAGUGCAGCAGCAGCAGCGGCGGAACAUGGAGGAGGGCUGAAGACAGUGCAGCAGCAGUGGCGGAACAUAGAGGAGGGGGGAGAGCGGAAGACAGUGCGGCAGCAGCAUAACGCCAGAUCUGUCUACUGUGACCUGGGCCCCUGUGUGUAUGUCACCAUGUUCCCCCUAAGACAGUGACAGCUCAACGGCCAUUUCAGUGGAGUGGUGGGACACAGGACUGAUCUGGAAGGAGACCCCUAGGCACAUAAAGAUGGGAUCCAGACCCAGCCCACAGUCAAGAGCUUUGCAGGUGGUAAGCAGAAACCACACUAUCAGCUCCGAGUCCUGUCCCGCACAAUCACUGAUAGAGACCCACGUGUGACAGACUACUGCCUCUUCCGGAAGAAGUGAGGAGGCACUGCACAUAUCUGGAGAGGGAAAGGAGAGAGAGAGAGAGAAAAAGAGAGAGAAAGAGAGAGAGAGAGAAGAGAAAGAGAGAAAGGAGCAGAAGAGAAGAGAGACACGAAACUAACCUGCUGCUGCUGCUGGAGCCGGCGGAGGAGGACAGCCGCACAAGCCACCGCUGCUGCCUGUCAGGUGAUCGGGAGCCGGGAGGAC